CUGUUGUUUGUGAGCCGCGUAGUUCUCUUCUUUCUCAUGCUCCUGUUAGCCUGCAAUUGUCCAUAUCAAAAAUGUUGUUUUCUUUUAACUGUCUUUCUUUUGAACCUCUAAAUCUCUCGUGUUGCUAACCUAUCUACACCAG